rnacentral:rRNA from 1 species
UCUACGGGAGGCAGCAGUGGGGAAUAUUGGACAAUGGGGGCAACCCUGAUCCAGCCAUGCCGCGUGUGUGAAGAAGGCCCUCGGGUUGUAAAGCACUUUCAGUGAGGAAGAACGCCUGGUGGUUAAUACCCAUCAGGAAAGACAUCACUCACAGAAGAAGCACCGGCUAACUCCGUGCCAGCAGCCGCGGUAAUACGGAGGGUGCGAGCGUUAAUCGGAAUUACUGGGCGUAAAGCGCGCGUAGGUGGCUUGAUAAGCCGGUUGUGAAAGCCCCGGGCUCAACCUGGGAACGGCAUCCGGAACUGUCAAGCUAGAGUGCAGGAGAGGAAGGUAGAAUUCCCGGUGUAGCGGUGAAAUGCGUAGAGAUCGGGAGGAAUACCAGUGGCGAAGGCGGCCUUCUGGACUGACACUGACACUGAGGUGCGAAAGCGUGGGUAGCAAACAGGAUUAGAUACCCCGGUAGUC